rnacentral:rRNA from 1 species
UUCCAGACUCCUACGGGAGGCAGCAGUGGGGAAUAUUGCACAAUGGGGGAAACCCUGAUGCAGCGACGCCGCGUGAGUGAAGAAGUAUUUCGGUAUGUAAAGCUCUAUCAGCAGGGAAGAAAAUGACGGUACCUGAUUAAGAAGCCCCGGCUAACUACGUGCCAGCAGCCGCGGUAAUACGUAGGGGGCAAGCGUUAUCCGGAUUUACUGGGUGUAAAGGGAGCGUAGACGGCAGCGCAAGUCUGAAGUGAAAUCCCAUGGCUUAACCAUGGAACUGCUUUGGAAACUGUGCAGCUGGAGUGCAGGAGAGGUAAGCGGAAUUCCUAGUGUAGCGGUGAAAUGCGUAGAUAUUAGGAGGAACACCAGUGGCGAAGGCGGCCUGCUGGACGACAACUGACGGUGAGGCGCGAAAGCGUGGGGAGCAAACAGGAUUAGAUACCCUAGUAC